rnacentral:tRNA from 1 species
GGGCUUAGCUUAAUUAAAGUGUUUGAUUUGCAUUCAAUUGAUGUAAGAUAGAUUCUUGCAGCCCUUAGAGGUGAUUGGU